GGUCAGAACGAACGCUGGCGGCAUGGAUUAGGCAUGCAAGUCGAACGGGAGCAGCAAUGCUCCAGUGGCGCAAGGGUGAGGAACACGUGAACAACCUGCCUUCGAGUGGGGAUAGCUUCUGGAAACGGGAGAUAAUACCGAAUAACAUCAUUGGAUCGCAUGAUUUGAUGAUCAAAGCAGCAAUGCGCUUGAAGAGGGGUUCGCGUCCCAUUAGCUAGUUGGUGAGGUAACGGCCCACCAAGGCGAUGAUGGGUAGCUGGUCUGAGAGGACGAUCAGCCACAUUGGGACUGAGAUACUGCCCAGACUCCUACGGGAGGCUGCAGUCGAGAAUUUUGGGCAAUGGACGAAAGUCUGACCCAGCAAUGCCGCGUGCGGGAUGAAGGUCUUCGGAUUGUAAACCGCUGUCAAGAGGGACGAAACAUGACGGUACCUCUGGAGGAAGCCACGGCUAACUACGUGCCAGCAGCGGC
rnacentral:rRNA from 1 species